rnacentral:rRNA from 1 species
CAGUAGCCACGGUAAUACGUAGGUGGCAAGCGUUGUCCGGAAUUAUUGGGCGUAAAGGGCUCGCAGGCGGUCUCUUAAGUCUGAUGUGAAAGCCCCCGGCUCAACCGGGGAGGGUCAUUGGAAACUGGGAAACUUGAGUGCAGAAGAGGAGAGUGGAAUUCCACGUGUAGCGGUGAAAUGCGUAGAGAUGUGGAGGAACACCAGUGGCGAAGGCGACUCUCUGGUCUGUAACUGACGCUGAGGAGCGAAAGCGUGGGGAGCGAACAGGAUUAGAGACCCGAGUAGUCCCUGUCUCUUAUAC